rnacentral:tRNA from 1 species
AGCUAUUUAGCUGAUAGGAAAGCAAAUGUUUUGAAAACAUCUUAUAAAAGUUCGAAUCUUUUAAUAGUUU